GGGAGGCCAGCAGUAGGGAAUCUUCCNCAAUGGGCGCAAGCCUGAUGGAGCAACACCGCGUGAGUGAAGAAGGGUUUCGGCUCGUAAAGCUCUGUUGUUAAAGAAGAACACGUAUGAGAGUAACUGUUCAUACGUUGACGGUAUUUAACCAGAAAGUCACGGCUAACUACGUGCCAGCAGCCGCGGUAAUACGUAGGUGGCAAGCGUUAUCCGGAUUUAUUGGGCGUAAAGAGAGUGCAGGCGGUUUUCUAAGUCUGAUGUGAAAGCCUUCGGCUUAACCGGAGAAGUGCAUCGGAAACUGGAUAACUUGAGUGCAGAAGAGGGUAGUGGAACUCCAUGUGUAGCGGUGGAAUGCGUAGAUAUAUGGAAGAACACCAGUGGCGAAGGCGGCUACCUGGUCUGCAACUGACGCUGAGACUCGAAAGCAUGGGUAGCGAACAGGAUUAGAUACCCUGGUAGUCCAUGCCGUAAACGAUGAGUGCUAGGUGUUGGAGGGUUUCCGCCCUUCAGUGCCGGAGCUAACGCAUUAAGCACUCCGCCUGGGGAGUACGACCGCAAGGUUGAAACUCAAAGGAAUUGACGGGGGCCCGCACAAGCGGUGGAGCAUGUGGUUUAAUUCGAAGCUACGCGAAGAACCUUACCAGGUCUUGACAUCUUGCGCCAACCCUAGAGAUAGGGCGUUUCCUUCGGGAACGCAAUGACAGGUGGUGCAUGGUCGUCGUCAGCUCGUGUCGUGAGAUGUUGGGUUAAGUCCCGCAACGAGCGCAACCCUUGUUACUAGUUGCCAGCAUUAAGUUGGGCACUCUAGUGAGACUGCCGGUGACAAACCGGAGGAAGGUGGGGACGACGUCAGAUCAUCAUGCCCCUUAUGACCUGGGCUACACACGUGCUACAAUGGACGGUACAACGAGUCGCGAACUCGCGAGGGCAAGCAAAUCUCUUAAAACCGUUCUCAGUUCGGACUGCAGGCUGCAACUCGCCUGCACGAAGUCGGAAUCGCUAGUAAUCGCGGAUCAGCAUGCCGCGGUGAAUACGUUCCCGGGCCUUGUACACACCGCCCGUCACACCAUGAGAGUUUGUAACACCCAAAGUCGGUGGGGUAACCUUUAGAGCCAGCCGCUAAG
rnacentral:rRNA from 2 species